CCUACGGGAGGCAGCAGUGGGGAAUAUUGCACAAUGGGGGAAACCCUGAUGCAGCAACGCCGCGUGAGUGAUGACGGUCUUCGGGUUGUAAACUCCUGUUUUUAGGGACGAUUAUGACGGUAUCUGAGGAGUAAGCAACGGCUAACUCCGUGCCAGCAGCCGCGGUAAUACGUAGGUGGCGAGCGUUGCUCGGAUUUACUGGGCGUAAAGGGUGCGUAGGCGGGGUUUUAAGUGAGAUGUGAAAUACUGUAGCUUAACUUGAGUCCUGCAUUUCAAACUGGUAGUCUAGAGUGUGGGAGAGGAGAGUGGAAUUCCUGGUGUAGCGGUAAAAUGCGUAGAGAUUAAGAAGAACACCAAUGGCGAAGGCGAUUCGCUGGACUAUAACUGACGCUGAGGCUCGAAAGCGUGGGGAGCAAACAGGAUUAGAUACCCUUGUAGUC
rnacentral:rRNA from 1 species